rnacentral:rRNA from 1 species
GACGAACGCUGGCGGCGUGCUUAACACAUGCAAGUCGAACGGAAAGGCCCUGCUUUUGUGGGGUGCUCGAGUGGCGAACGGGUGAGUAACACGUGAGUAACCUGCCCUUGACUUUGGGAUAACUUCAGGAAACUGGGGCUAAUACCGGAUAGGAGCUCCUGCUGCAUGGUGGGGGUUGGAAAGUUUCGGCGGUUGGGGAUGGACUCGCGGCUUAUCAGCUUGUUGGUGGGGUAGUGGCUUACCAAGGCUUUGACGGGUAGCCGGCCUGAGAGGGUGACCGGCCACAUUGGGACUGAGAUACGGCCCAGACUCCUACGGGAGGCAGCAGUGGGGAAUAUUGCACAGUGGGUGGAAGCCUGAUGCAGCAACGCCGUGUGCGGGAUGACGGCCUUCGGGUUGUAAACCGCUUUCGCUCAUGACGAAGCUUUGUGUGACGGUAGUGGGUAAAGAAGCACCGGCUAACUACGUG